UUGGUAAAUUCACUAUAUACCUAUAUGUUUUAAUUGUAUAAGCUCUCUCUCCAAGCUGUUAUUUUGGGUAUGAUUUUUUCAUACCAAGAGUUAAAGCAGUUGGUAAAUUAAGACCUCCAUUGAAAAUAAUACGUACUUUUUCAUAGCUGCAGGCAGCAUAUUAAAACUUUUGUGUAAAAUAUUACAUAGCUUCAUUUGCUUAUGGCUAGUAUUGUUAUCAAUUGGAUGACAAACCCACUAAAGCAAAAUUAAAUACUUACAGGGUUUAUGAAAACAUACCUAAAUAGGAUGUAACUUAAAUCAUAAAGGAGAUAUUUCCUUAAUCCCCAUCCUCCGAAUUUUUUUUGUUAUUGAGAAAAAAAUUCAGUAGAUGACACGUGUGUCUCUUGAUGUGUUUUUCCUUUAAUUCAAGGUCUAAGCUAGAUAGUUUGUGCACACUUGCAUUCAUAAAGAACGUUAGGUGUCAACUCCAUACAUUUAUGGGGUGGGGACUCGGCGAGAUAGCACCCAUGUGCUGGCUACGAGAAACUACUAAACGCCUACACUGACACCAGUACCUACCUCGUUAUCAGGCAUUAGGGAGGCGACAGUGGGCACAUAGCGAGCCUUCACUGCAGUCUUCACACCUCAUCACAGUAUACAAAGAAAGUAGGCGACAUUGUUACAAUUCCAGGUUGAACACUUUAAUGACAGUUCAGUUACAUGUCCACACUUACCGCUUACACUGAUCUCGUGACAGAUUUCACAGAGAGUCCUGCUUUUGCACAUGGCUGAGUAUGUGAACAUAAAGAAGUCUGAAGUGUCAUGUCUGUCCUCAAUGCAGCUCAGCUAGUACAGACUGCUGACUGCACUGGGAUAGCGCACCGUGUUUUAGUCGUAGGUUGUGGUUGGUUACGUUAACAUGUUAGCGAAGAAAUACAAUGGCAAAAUUACCAAACAAUAAAACUUUUGACAUAUAAAAAAAACAUAUGCAGUUAUAACCAUGAAAAAAAAUACAAAAUAAUCAACUGAAAAUUUAGUAGUGGGAUCUAUCUUUUUAGCCUAUGAAAUAAAAACUAUUUUAAUAAGAUUAACAUUUUCCAUGCUGUGACUUCAGCCAGAUAACAAGAUUUUGAAAAUUUUAUUACAACCAUAUUAAGAUUCUAGGUACACCAAUACUUGAAGUGUGUACCAUACUUGUAGAGAUGUAAUGCAUCGUGUUGUUAAAGACUAGGACUGUUAGCAGAACGAACAGUAAACAGCUGUGUCUUCUUUCUCUCUCUCUUUUCUUAUGCCAUGGAAAUGUUUAGGCACGCUGCAGCACAAGCACCAACUGUAGGCCGCACCAAAAAAUUAAAUGGCGCUCGUUUCUCCCUACUUCUUGUUGCACUUUUCGAGAGCUAAGAUGUUACACAAAAAAAAAUACAUUUUUUCAAAAUAACGUUUGGAUUAAAAUCAAAGUACUGUGAAUCAAUUAAACAGGGAACUUUAUGAAAAUCAUAAAUAAUUUAGUUAAAAGGCUGUUUUAAAAUUAAAAUAAUAAAAUAUUUUUAAAAAAUUUGAAACAAUAAAAUACAAAUACAGUAUUAGGUCACCAUGACAUUGAAAUAAAAUGAUCAGCUGACAUAUUGCAUUACUGAAAAACUUAACCUCUUGGGUACACUAGAAAGGGCAGUGGCUUGCUAUGCCACAAUGCAUAGUUUUUAGUAGUACGUACUUCUACACUUGCACACUUCAAACAUGCACUAAAGGUAGACAUACUAAUUAAACCACUCAGGAUGGUUGAUUGCUGGAAGACCCCCAUGGACUGUGGCAUGCCAGUGUGAGAUGGUGCGACAUAUGACUGCGCAGAAAGUGUGCACGCGUGCUCAUCACACUCGAGGACGGUUGAUGCAGCACUCGUGACAUGUGCACUCAGCACGCGUAGGAGGUACACUCUAGUGUGGGUGUGUGUGUGUGUGGAGCGUACAGCUCAGCUAUGUUCUUCUCUUUUUUGCAGUGUACUGUACAGUGUAAGAGUGCCAUCUCAGUGCAAACACUCACAUCUUGUUGGUAUGCUUGCAUGCACAUCUGAUUCCCUUCUGUUGCGACACCUUGCAGUUGAGCUUUUUCGCUUCCAUUGUGUUUGACGGCCCGUUGGCUGCACUGCCGCGACAGUCUGGUUUUUUCCCAUGCAAACUGCAGUUACUACUGGCGGCCCCUGGUAUGAGUUGACUGGUCAACAUAGGGGUCUGAGAAUACUCAAAAAACUAUUCAAUAUUUGUGAAUUAUUUGAUAUUCAAUAUUAAUAAAUAAUUUGUAUUUUGAUUUAAUUUAACUGAAUUUUUUUUUUCAAAUUAUUUGUCACCAAUAGAUAAAAUACCUAGAUAGAUCUACACCAUGUCAGACACUUUCAUAAAGAAAAUUAUUAAAAUAUAUCAUGUAUGAGGCUAAGAUGAUUUAUUGAGAAAUUUAGAUUUGUGCUGUAACAUUAUUCACACAUUGCAUUAUAUUUAUCAAAUAAUGAUAAUUAUUUAAUAUUAUUAAUAAUAUUCUAUUUUAUGUAUGUAACCAGUUCAACAAGACAACUUUCAAACUUAAAAUAUAGGUACUAGUUUAAGAAAAUGCAUUGCCAGGUUUUUUUUUUCCUUUACUGUACACCUCUUUGUUAUGGUUCUUUAUUAAUUACUUACUUUUUUAUUUUGCUGUAUUUUGGAUCAAUUUUACUUGGACUCCUGUGAAGUGUGGAAAAAAAUUUUCACGAUGUUAAAAUUUGAUUUCGCGAAUAUUGUGGUAUUCGUUUCGAAAUUCGAAGCCUAGUUAGUUAAUUUAAAUUAUUGUUUACUAUUUCAUAUAUGAACAUUCUAAUGGAAACUGUUGUGUCUGUCUAAGCUCUAAAUCACAUGUUAAAACAGCUGGCUUUAACAUUGAUAAAGUGAGCUAGAGAGAUCUAGGUUUUGAACGUAUUUACUUGUGCUCUGCAGUGAAUGUCAACGAACAAGACAAAGGCUUUGAACUAUUUCUUAAAGAACUAUUUACCUCUAAAACAAUUUUGAAUGAAAAAAAGUGAUAAUUUUUCAAGUCAUGAUUUGUAGAAAUUGUUUAAAUUUUCACAGCUAAAAAUAAUAGGGAUGUGCGGGUACCCGAUAAAUUCAACUUCGAUUCGAUUCCUCAACUAUUUGAACCCGGAACCGAAAAUAAAAUUUGGAAUCGAAAAAUUCGGGCAAGUUUUCAAAAGUCAAAAACAAUCGAAGAAAGAAAUUGAUGGUUACCGUUCAACUGAUUGCUGGACAUAAAUUUAUUCGUCAAUUAUCAUUAAUAACUCGUAAAAUUGCCGCACACUUUCACUCAAACAAAUUUCAUAAUGUUAUGAAAUAUAGGUUAGGCCGAACAUUAAAUUUUUUUUAAACAUCGUGUAUGAUACAUUUACACGUUCAGAACCACUACCUACCUGUUUAGGCUUGUAAAGAUAAAUACCAUUCGAAAACUGCUUGUUUAUGAAAUAGUUUAACAAUCUGCUCAAACAUUUUUAUUUCUGCCUACUUACGGCAUAUUACUCAUGACCAUUUCUCACGUUGCACGGGAAAAAAAAUUGUUGGUUUAAUUGUUUUGAAUAAUAGAUAACACUUAUUAAAAAUGAAUUUUACAACCAUCAACGCACAAUUUUCUGUUAACAGUUAAAAUAUUUCCUUGUUCAACCUUACAUUUACAAAGAUCGCCAUUCUGUGAUACUUAGUCUUCUGUUAACAGAAUAGAGAAUAACCAUCAUUCACGACAUGAAAAUAUUUUAGCGGUGCCGUAUGUGUAGACUGUUAUGUCACCAUUUAUCAUAGAUUGCGCGUGCCGACACAAAGGAAUCGAAACACUGAAUCGUAACAUUGUCAGUAUCGAAGUAGGCACUGUUUAUGCUUUUGCCUUUUACAAAACUUAAUUAAAGCUGAUCAUCGUUGUGUGUUUUAACUUCGUGAAGUUAAUAAAUUAAUAUUUACGUAUUUUUUCCGUUUUUAGGGGAACAGAUCUUGUUGAAAAAAACGAAGAAAUAUAUGUUACCUACUUAUUGGUUUUAAUUUAAAUAAACCUACUGGCUAGGCCAUGCUGCGUACGUCAUAUGUGCAAAUGUAGGUUAAUUAAUAAAUUUUACUUCUGUGCGCAGCACGCAUCACACUAUCUCGGUGACUCUAGUGAGGCAGAUGACUUUACCGUUGGUAACAUUUGACAUCUUUAAACAGUGGUGAAGUAAUUAAAUAAGUAAUGGAUGAAAAUUGUGGCAAGUUUAAGGGCCGCAGUCAUCUUUGGAAAUUUUAUGACAAAAUAUCAGAAAGCCAUUCCAAAUGUAAAACUUGUGGAACUAAACUCAAACAGGUACAUGGUAGCACUUCUAGCAUGGCGAAGCACUUAACAUUACACAAGAGUGUAUAUGCAGAGUACUUACAACUACAGAAAGAAUUAACUCAUGCACCUUCCACAUCAAGUAACAAAGUACAACUCACUCUGUCAGCUUCGUUUAGUAGCCAAGAAAAGUAUGGUAGAGACUAUCCAAAAGCUAUUGCCAUAACCAAUGCCAUUGGCAAAAUGAUUGCUGUGGAUAUACAGCCAUACAGUAUGAUUCAAGAUAAAGGCUUCAAAGACUUUAUGGCGCAAGUUGAACCCAAGUACUCCGUACCAGACCGAACAACAUUCUCUAGGCGUGUAGUGCCAGAGCUGUACAAUGGUCUGGUAGAAAAAAUUCACACAAAUCAAUAAUGACUUCAAAGCAGGCGUCAAUUCGGUGGCAUUUACAACAGAUAUGUGGACGUCACGCAGUAAUGACAGCUAUUUAUCAUUAACAUGUCAUUAUGUGGACACAGAUUUCAUUCCUGUUCAUCACAUGCUGGGGAAUGUUCUUUUCACCGGAGAACAUAGUGGGGAAGCAAUUGCCAAUACUCUGCUUAGACUAAAUGCAAAGUGGGAAAUUCCAAACACUAUACCUAUUUACAUAGUUUCAGAUUCUGCUAGAAACAUGAAAUCUGCAGCUGCUAAAACCAGUUGGCAUUCAUUUAGCUGUUUAGGGCACACUUUGCAGCUAGCCAUAAAUGAUGCCAAAAAGGAAACUCCUGGGAUUGAGGCGCUGUGCAAAAAAAGUCUUGCUAUAGUGGGGCACUACAAACGUAGCUCCCAAGCUCGUCAGCGUCUUCAUGAAUUACAAAAGCAGAUGGGAAAACCAGAACAUGAAUUGAUCCAGGAUGUAGACACCCAAUGGAACAGUGAGUUUGCUAUGUUGAAAUGACUUGUUGAACAAAAAGAGCCUAUUGCUGCAGAAUUAGCUUUUUCUGAUGGUGUUGACAAUUUAACUGCCAAUGAAAGGAAGCUCGUAGAAGGGGCAGUCAGAAUUUUAGAGCCAAUAAAUGAAGCAACUAAAGAAUUUAGUAGACAAGACUACCCCACAAUUUCUCUAGUUAUACCAGUUAUUGAUGGGAUAAAAAACAUGUUAGAUACAUUUGUGUGCAAAGCAGAACCAGGUGAAGGCAUCAUUUUCGGACGAAAUUUGUUGAAGGCUGUAUUCUCAAGAUUUCCUGAUUACAAAUCAAAAGAUGAAUAUGUUGCUGCAAUGCUUCUUGAUCCUAGAUUUAAAUCAGUACUUUUGAAGGAUCAUGAGAAAAAGAAAGGUGUAAGUAUUGACGUCGACCCAGAGGCCACCCUAGCUCCUACAGGCCGUUAUGGCGCGUCACCGCCUUCUUCUGUGCGCGGGCGUGUGCGGGAGCCAGUGGUGCCACCUUCAUUAAAUCAGUGUCCCUCCGACGUAGUUUUUUUUAUGUAUAUUUUCUUUUCUUUCAGCAGGACAUAAUUUUUAUUGUAAAAACUAUAAUAUCAUCCAUCAUGUAUAAUUUAAAUUAGAAGGGUAAAUAACAUGUAUUUUAAUAUGCACGGGGUGAACAAGUCGCGGGUUCCCGUCCACGAGGACGUGAGAUGCUGCACGAGACGCGCGCGGGGAGGGGGUCGGCGCGAGCAGAGGGCAGUCGCGUCUGGAGAACCGCGGAGGAGUGACGUGUCGGCCGCGAGCUCUCGCCAAGACGAGUGAAACGGGUGAGCAUAGAGGCCUCCGGGCUUAACGUCAGUGACGCGGGGAAUAGAUCAGCAACAGUCUUCGAGUCGUGUCAGGCAGUUCGAAACUAUGGAGAUUAGUAUGUAAACUAUUGCCAAGGGGUCGCCUUAUUGUAAAUAGUUUAGUUUUCUUUUUAUUAGUGUUUCAUAAUUUUUUCCUUUCCUCUCGUAUGUAUGUAUAUAUAUAUAUAUCUUUAUUCGCUUGUAUAGUCAUGCAUUGCCUAGGAUAAAAUAGUACCAUUGUGUCAUGGACGAGACCUCGCCAUUUUAAUGGGACAUUUCAGAAACUGUGUCCGCAGGUAGUGCUUGCCUGAAUUCGCUAUAGGACAGGAAAUCAAAGCCCUGCCGGUUUGGGACAAACGCCAUCGGUUAGCGCCGCGACGCCGGCGCCUACUACUUCCCAUAGGCGGCCGUGUAAGGGGAAAUUCUCGUGUAGUCAGGCCUCACCUAAGAACGGUCGUAGGCGGGAACUGCGAUAGCCCCGUGCCAGUGCAAAUAGUGGCCAAUAAAAAGAGUGAGUGCCACGAAACCCUAUGUAGUUUCAUUAUUAGCAGGCUAGAUCCUCUUAACUGCCACGCGGCCCGAAACCCACCCCCAACUGAGCUAGCCCAAGAACCUACACAACCAAUAAGGGGAUCAGCCCGCUCGACGACAAGUGGCCCCCAACUAGGUGGCAACGCAUUCUCAAACUUUCAAAUUUUCAAAACUUUCAAUUUUUUUUAAAAACUUUCAAACUUUCGAAAUUUUGUCUCAAAGGGCGUAAUUUGGCAAAGUGCGGGUUGCCAAGAACACGGACAAAGUGGGCGGAAAGGACAUCACGGACAUUAUAUGGACUGGAGUAGCGUGCGACGUAGCGCGAGUUGCGUCACGCGAACGGCGCGGGAGCUGCCUGGCGCGGCGGAGCGGCGGAAGCAGGCGGAAGGAGCGGCGCGGGAAAGAGAUAAGGAGACGCAUCCACGCCGGGAUCAGGUUCACGCGGGAGAGAGAUAAGGCGGCGCGACCCACGCCGGGCUCGAAUUCGCGCGGUAUCGCGCUGCGGCUUAUCGCGCGCCGAGAGGCGAGUUCGCCGACCGAGCCGAGAAGGAUCGGAUAACCAAGUGAAGCCGGGUGACGACCGGAAAAAUGGAGGGACCGGAUGAGACAAAGGCGAGGGUGAUGGACACGUGUGUGGGGUGUGGACUUCCGUUCAGGGGGAGACACGGACAGGACCUUUCGUGCGAAUGCCCAUGGGGACUAGCGGACGUGAAGAGUAGCGGGGAGAGUAAUGACAGACAAUCGGGGAGUCAUUUACCGGGUCACCGCGACGAGGGCGUUAGAGAGCCCAUAGGUCAUGGUCAUCCGAGUAUAGUGAUGCGAGUGGUCGAGGUGGCUAGCCCAUUACCGGAGUUUGCGGGAGAACCGCACGAAGAUCCGAGUGCGUUUGUAGCCGCGUGUGUGGACAGGCUUAGGGGAGUGCCACGAAGGGACUGGGUGACGAGAGUGUGUGGCCAGUUACGGGGCCGGGCGGCGAAAUGGUGGACGGACACGGGGGACUAUCUAUCCGAGUGGGGAGAAUUCGAGCGAGCACUAGAGAGGCGGUUCAACGGACCACUGGCACGAGCCGAGUGUCAGCGACAACUUUACAGUGUACCACAGGCCGCAGGGGAGAGCGCCGAAUCAUUUAUCUAUAGGAAGGUGCGGUUGCACCGGCGAGUGGGGCCGGAGAGAACAGUGAGCGAGGUCAUGCCCGUAAUAUGCGAACAGUUGUUGCCGUCGCUACGCCCUUUUCUGCGACGGGCCGUGGACCUAGAGGUAUCCGAGUUCGUGGAGCUGGCCCGGGAGACUGAAAUGGACUUGGCAGCAAGUAGGAGGGAACUCUGGGCAAGAGAGUCACGACGGGAGCCUAGGAUGACACCAGUGAUGUCACAAGAGACUGUGACACCCGAGGACGCAAUGACAUUGGUCCGAUACAGGGGCGGGGCCACACCACAAGGGCAGAGGACGACAGGGGGACCCACACGGGAGACCAGAACACGGUCAGAGGAGCGGAGUACGAAUCAGCGGACGAGUGACAACCGUCCACCCAGGUGUCAGUAUUGCCGCAGCCCGGAGUAUCACUGGCACGCGGAGUGUCCAACCAAGGCGGAGUUGUGGAGGAAGAUGGAAAGGGAAGGACGCCAUCCGGGAAACGGACAAUAGGGGGCAGGGACAGAGUCGGCCACUGCCUCCUAGAUACGAACCCGGACAACAUGACAGAAAAGACCUCACCGAGCCCGAGAACGAGUCAGCCCAACGACGCCCGCCAUGACACCAGCCACAGGGACGAGAGGAACACAGGGACGUCGCCCGCCAAAAGUGACAGCCCCACUGGGCAGCUCGGAAGAGACACGAGGGACCACGGGAACCGCAGCAUGGACGCCACAGCAGACGGGGGAGCCAGUAGCAGUCCAACAGCAGGGGACAGGUCACCACCAGAGGAGCAGGGGGCUCCUCCAGCACAGCUGGGACAGCUGGGCACGGACCAGGCGGCGCUGCUCCGGGUGCCAGUGCUCCUGAACGGCCGUCCCGUCCACGCGUUGGUGGACACGGCGGCGACCCACUCUUUUGUCUCCGCCCACCUGGUGCCGGACGAGGACUUGGAGCCACACGAGGACGAGGUGCAACUGGCAACGGAGGGGACAAGCGCGUCCACGUCUGGACGCGCACAGGUAACCAUCGGUGUUCGUGACUUAUUCAGUCGGACGAGCGCCCUGGUGAUGCGUGGACUGCGGGAGGAGUUGAUCCUGGGCCUGCCUUGGCUGGUCCAGGAGGACGCCGCCAUUGACAUCAAGGACAGUAAGUUGCACGUGGGCCGUCAGGGGCGCCGAACGCUGUACGGCGUGGGCCGGGCGGGCCCUGUUCCUCCCUCACCACAGAUCCAGCUGGCAGACCUCACUCAUGACGUGCCACCAAAUUACACAGGGUUGUUCGAGGGCGUGUUGUCGCAGCAACCGUUAGUGUUCGCGGCCACAGACAUGCUGCGGCGGACAACGGUGACGGAACAUGCCAUCCCUACAAAGCCACACAGUCCCAUAUACGUAAAGCCGCGGGAGUUUGGACUCAAAGACCGUCAGGUAGUGCAGGAACAGAUAACCGAAAUGCUCCAGAACGGAGUAAUAGAAGCUAGUGAAUCUCCGUACAAUAGCCAAAUCGUCAUGGCUAAGAAGAAGGACGGGACCUUGAGGUUCUGUGUGAACUUCAAACCCGUGAACUCUGUCACCAUACCCGCCCCACCACCACUGAUAAACAUUGCAGACGCGUUGGCAGGCUUGGGGGACGCCCGUAUAUUUACGUCACUUGAUCUAAGGUCCGGGUAUUGGCAAGUCCCCGUCAGGCAGGAAGACCGUCCUAAGACCGCGUUUACGGCCCCGGACGGACGCAGGUUUCAGUUCCGAGCCAUGCCGUUCGGGCUGAUGGACGCCCCCUCGACAUUCCAGGCCAUGAUGGUCCGCGUCCUGGAUGGGUUCGUGGGCGACUUCGUCACGGCCUAUCUGGACGACGUGAUCGUCUGGUCACGGACGUGGGAGGACCAUGCGCAUCACCUGGCAUUGGUCCUCGAACGGCUGGCCAGACACGGGCUGACCUGCGCCCCGCACAAGUGCCAUAUCGGGGCAACGGAGAUCAGAUUCCUGGGGCAUGUCGUCAGUGAGAAGGGGUGCCGCCCUCUCCCGGAGCACCUGGACCUGAUCGCGUCCAAGGCGGCUCCACAGACGAGAAAACAGCUGCAAAGACUCAUGGGGCUCCUGAACUGGCUGCGGUCUUUCAUACCGGACUUCGCAGCGGUGACGGCCCCCAUGACGGACUUGCUAUCCCCCAAAACAAAAUACAGGUGGACCGCGGAGGCCGACCGCGCCCUGGCUACUGUCAAGCGCUUGUUCAAGGACAGUCACACCCUCGCACGGCUGGUGCCGGGCGAACCCCUGUACCUACAAACGGACGCGAGUCAAGUAGGUAUGGGGGCCGUGUUGUACCAGGUCGGACCCAAUGGCGAGCGACGCGUGAUGGAGUAUUCCAGUGCCAAAUUCGGGCCGGCCGCCCGGAACUACGAUGUGAAUGAACAGGAGUGCUUGGCAGUGGUGUGGGCUGUCAAGCGGUACCAACACCAUCUGGAAGGGUGGGAGUUUACUCUUAGGACGGACAAUCAGUGUUUAAAAUGGUUGAACUCGAUGCAAGGGAGGAAGAGUAAAUUUACCCGGUGGGCUGUGACCCUCCAAAACUUUGCAUUCACAGUGGAACACGUGCCAGGGAGGACUAACCAACUUGCCGAUGAAUUGUCACGACAUCCUAACCCAGAGGACAUCUUUGAGGACGAGGGCACGUGGGACGAUCUGCUUCCUCCGUCAGGGCGCGCACCCGUCACGGGAGACCAGAUGGGGCCCGCGGCAUUGUACGCGGUAACACAGGAGGAACCAGUCACUGAACCCGAGGCAGUGGACACUCUCUCCCAGCUGAUUAGCGCCGUGCAGCGGGUUCAGCGGGGGGACGACGUCUCGAAGGCCGCCGUGGAGGCGUGCGGGAACCAGGUGGUACCGGAUCAGCGCUGCGUGGACGGGGUCCUGCAGACGCGGGUGCCGGGAGGUGGGGAUGCUUGGCGAACUCACGCCCCGAAGGGGGCCCGCGCGGCCAUACUGGGUUAUUUCCAUGACCACCAGCUAGCAGGCCACCCCGGGGCCGAACAAACCGCGGAGGCAAUCAGGGUCUCCUUCCACUGGCCCGGCAUGGGACACGAUGUCCGGGAAUACGUCCGACGCUGCCACACUUGCCAGCAGCGCAAGGCCCGGAGGACAGACGGCGAGGAGCAACAGCGACCUCGCCGCCCGCAACACCCAUUCCACACACUAGCUCUAGAUAUCAUGGGGCCCUAUCCCCGCAGCAGCAAAGGCAAGCGCUUCCUUGUAGUACUAACAGACCUGUUUACCAGAUGGGUCGAGGCCUAUCCGGUCUCCAACGUCCGGUCGGGAACGUUGAUAGCGCUGAUCGACGGAGAGGUAGCCCCUCGCUUCGGGUACCCAGCGGUGCUCCUAUCGGACAACGGAUGUCAGUUCACGGGAGCCCGCUGGAAACAGGCCUGCAGAAGGUGGGGGGUGAGCCACCACACGACGCCGACGUAUCACCCGAGGGCCAACCCAACCGAGAGACGGAACCAAGAGAUAAAGGCUCAGCUCCGUCUCCGGUUGGGAGAGGACCAUUCAAAAUGGGAUACCCAUUUGCCGAACCUCUUAUACUGUCUGAGGCGUCGUACGAGUGCCGCCACGGGUUACUCGCCGGCAGAGCUGGUCAUGGGGCGGAACCUGGCGCUGCCAGGAGAAUGCCGGGUAGAGGCGGCAGCCACAGAAGCCGGAUGGGGCGAAUGUCUCAAUACCGAGCUGACCAGAAUGCAGGAGAGGGCUAGGCGGAGACAGGAGGCCUAUCUACAGCAGACGACACCACAGUCCACUAGACCCCCCCCUACUCUGAACCCCGGGGACCAAGUGUACGUCCGACAGCAUCCUCUGUCGUCAAGGGCAAAGAACUUUUGUGCAGGUCUAGCCCCGAAAUGGGCGGGCCCCAGGACCGUUCUGCGACAGGCGGGGGCCACAUCGUACUUAAUACGUACACCAAGCGGGAGGCCCGCAAAAAUUCACAGAGACCAACUGCGCCUAGCCGCGGGGGAGAGACAAGCUCCAAGGGACACGGACAGGGGAGAGGGGUCUGCCUCUACACCAGUCACCGACGCAAACCAAGCCAGCCGUGACAUGGACGGAAGGUGGGACGAGGACAUGGCGGGACAGAAAGAACAAGGAGACGUGACAGAGACGCGACCGGCAGCCGACACAGGGGCAGCCAUGAAAGGAACGGAGACAGGAGGGGCAGAAGAGAGCGUAAUGGAACCAGCCAGGACAUUUGGGGAACCAGACGAAACGACCGCCGACACAAACGUGAUCCAGUUCAUCACGGAACCGGACACGGACGGGGAGGACGAGGAGGGGAAAGACCCAGACACCCCUCUCUGGCCCCUCAAUACGAGUCUGGCGGACUCGUCGUUCAUUAUGACCGUCACCGAACCAGACUCAGAUACAGAACGGGGGGACACAGAGGGGAUGGAGGAAGAACUGAUGGGGGUCCUGACAGGUGAACCAGGAUCUUCGGGGUGGUCUGCCAUCCCAACCACGAGGAUGGGGGGAAAGGGCAGGACAUUAGACCCCAACUGUUCGCUCAGCCCCUCAAUUUCCAGAAGCGAAUCUGGGGAAAACUCCCGACCUAGGAGGAUACGGCGGGUACCCACCUACUUACGGGAAUUUCAGUGCAAUAACCUACCAAAGGCAAGCCACCACACUAACACAGGAUCCCGACUCAGUGUCAUGAGUUUACUGCCACCCUUCGCGAGACACCCGCACACGAUACACACCAGAGGCCAAGACACUUCCUACCCUCUCGUUUCUACGAUCAACGAGUGCAACGGCAGAUGCGAUUAAGAGACGUUGACGCGCAUAAUGGCCUUGUGGGAGGGGGGGGCAUUUGACGUCGACCCAGAGGCCACCCUAGCUCCUACAGGCCGUUAUGGCGCGUCACCGCCUUCUUCUGUGCGCGGGCGUGUGCGGGAGCCAGUGGUGCCACCUUCAUUAAAUCAGUGUCCCUCCGACGUAGUUUUUUUUAUGUAUAUUUUCUUUUCUUUCAGCAGGACAUAAUUUUUAUUGUAAAAACUAUAAUAUCAUCCAUCAUGUAUAAUUUAAAUUAGAAGGGUAAAUAACAUGUAUUUUAAUAUGCACGGGGUGAACAAGUCGCGGGUUCCCGUCCACGAGGACGUGAGAUGCUGCACGAGACGCGCGCGGGGAGGGGGUCGGCGCGAGCAGAGGGCAGUCGCGUCUGGAGAACCGCGGAGGAGUGACGUGUCGGCCGCGAGCUCUCGCCAAGACGAGUGAAACGGGUGAGCAUAGAGGCCUCCGGGCUUAACGUCAGUGACGCGGGGAAUAGAUCAGCAACAGUCUUCGAGUCGUGUCAGGCAGUUCGAAACUAUGGAGAUUAGUAUGUAAACUAUUGCCAAGGGGUCGCCUUAUUGUAAAUAGUUUAGUUUUCUUUUUAUUAGUGUUUCAUAAUUUUUUCCUUUCCUCUCGUAUGUAUGUAUAUAUAUAUAUAUAUCUUUAUUCGCUUGUAUAGUCAUGCAUUGCCUAGGAUAAAAUAGUACCAUUGUGUCAUGGACGAGACCUCGCCAUUUUAAUGGGACAUUUCAGAAACUGUGUCCGCAGGUAGUGCUUGCCUGAAUUCGCUAUAGGACAGGAAAUCAAAGCCCUGCCGGUUUGGGACAAACGCCAUCGGUUAGCGCCGCGACGCCGGCGCCUACUACUUCCCAUAGGCGGCCGUGUAAGGGGAAAUUCUCGUGUAGUCAGGCCUCACCUAAGAACGGUCGUAGGCGGGAACUGCGAUAGCCCCGUGCCAGUGCAAAUAGUGGCCAAUAAAAAGAGUGAGUGCCACGAAACCCUAUGUAGUUUCAUUAUUAGCAGGCUAGAUCCUCUUAACUGCCACGCGGCCCGAAACCCACCCCCAACUGAGCUAGCCCAAGAACCUACACAACCAAUAAGGGGAUCAGCCCGCUCGACGACAGUAUUUUAAAAACAUUAAUUUCCAGAGACUGUGCUGAUAGCAGCCAUUCUAAAGCACAAAGAGUUGAAAGCCAAGCUGAAACCUAAGGGUCUAAUUUAAGUGUUUGGAGUUGCUUUGAAGAACAGUCUGCAAAGUUGGAUGCAUCAUGUUCAAAUACUCGGAUAGAUAUGGUGGAAAAAGACAUCCUUUUGUACUUAAAUGAACCCAUUCAGAAACGUACUACUAAUCCAUAUCAGUGGUGGCAAGAAAACCAAGUUCGCCACAGAUAUGUUUCUGAUGCUGCGAGAACACUAUUGUGUAUUCCUGCAACAUCUGUUCCAAGUGAAAGCCUGUUUUCCUCGGCAGGAAAUAUCGUAACAGCACGGAGAGAGAAUCUGUCUCCUGAAAGUGUAGAACAGUUAACCUUCUUACAUAAGAACCUGUAGGCCUAAUCGUGAAAUAAUGUAGUGUUCAAAGCAUUUCUAAUCGGGACCCAGUUAUCACAUGAAAAGUGUUAAUUCGUUAGCUAUUUUUUAAUGCUGCAUUGUGUUGUAUAGUAUAAAUAUUAUCAUCCAGUUAUGUACCUGUUAUAACAUAAGGCAGGUCUCAGGUCCCCAACAGUGUUAAAAUGAACUUAUUAUUUACAUAAGUACUAUUCCAGAAUUGUCUUUCUUAUUCAUUUAAGUUAAAUACAUAUGGUUCAAAAUAAAUGCAAUUUUUUUAGUUAUUCCUACCAGACUCAUGACUAUGUACAUAAAGUUACCCAAAGAAUCGAAAUCGGAAUCGAAUUUCAACUCUUGUGGUGAGAAUCAAAUCGGAAUCGAAUCGAACUGAAAAUCAUGGAAUCGCACAACCCUAAAAAUUAAUAUUUUGCCUGUAAAGCUUUGAAAAAAAAAAAUAGAAAGCUUCAGUAACACAUUUUCUUAUAGUUCAUUGAAAUUCCCUUCAGUGUUUUCUAGCACCAAUUAUUGGGGAUAGGUGAUUACAGGUUAUUAUACUGAUAAUUUAACACUUUGAAAGUUGGGACUUGAUUCUUUGACAGAUAUUAAAUUAAUUAUUUCAUGCUGCAGUUUGUAUGUGCAUAAAAUCUUUUUUUAGUAAAACUUUAAUUUAAUUUUUUAGAAUUAAAUAUGUUCAUUUGAAAAAUUUCAGGCAUGUUAAUGAUUUCUUGAUAGUUACUUAAUUAAAAGUUAUUUUACAUAAAAUUGUUGUGUUUUACUUCAGCUGAUUUGCCUGCGCUUCACCCUCACCGCUUCUUACACCCUCCCUCUCUGUGACCGACAACUUUCCGGACAGUGUCUGGAGGAGAGGAAAUGAUCGACUGGAUGUCGUACCUGUCGGUGGUGUCGACACUCAGUUUCGUGGUGUUCUUUGCGGUGGGGCCCGGCUCGAUCCCGU